CAGCAGCCGCCACGGUAAUACGUAGGUGGCAAGCGUUGUCCGGAAUUAUUGGGCGUAAAGGGCUCGCAGGCGGUUUCUUAAGUCUGAUGUGAAAGCCCCCGGCUCAACCGGGGAGGGUCAUUGGAAACUGGGAAACUUGAGUGCAGAAGAGGAGAGUGGAAUUCCACGUGUAGCGGUGAAAUGCGUAGAGAUGUGGAGGAACACCAGUGGCGAAGGCGACUCUCUGGUCUGUAACUGACGCUGAGGAGCGAAAGCGUGGGGAGCGAACAGGAUUAGAUACCCGCGUAGUCCCUGUCUCUUAUAC
rnacentral:rRNA from 1 species